GGUAUGCGUGAUGUAUGGCUGGAUUGGUCAUGCCGUUCCUAUUAUAUAGGGACUGGUAGCUAGCUACGAUUUAAUGUGCGAUUAGCCCUGGCAAUUUGGAUGCUGAAUAUUUCUGUGUGCAGUGUGGGAUUCCCGUGACACGCAAACGCAAGUGGUAGGCUAUGGCGUUUUCGAAAUGAAAGGCUUCGUCAAAGCCUUUGGUAUUACUGGUUCCAGUCAACAUGGUCGGAGUCCCCUCAAAUGGCUGGAACCAGCGAAGACCAACCGAGCGCCCUAAGCCACUCGUUUCGUAAACACCCAUAUAAGCCAGACGCUCUGUGCAUGACGUCAUUACGCGAAACUCAUGCUGCGUCGAAAACCAUUUGAACACGGACUACGCGCCAGACACACUGCAAACAACACAUAGGUGCGGUGCACGUGGCACACACAGAGUGGCGGUAGUACUACUGAGCACAUGGUGUCCCCCCAGAACUGUGGGGGCCGACGUCUGCUCCGAGGGAGAGGAGCGGAAGUCAGACCUCAAAAUUCUGGAGGAUUUGGAUAUGGUCCGGCGAAACAUGGCGGCCAUGUAAACACACUGUAUACUCAUCAGUGUGAAGUUGUCAACUUGGUCUGGAAUCAACCCGCUCCGAGUCAACUCCGUCUCAGGUCAACUUGGUCCCAAGUCAACUCGGUCUAGUCAACUCUAGAAGGCAGGCACGUGGCUGCAGCAUGAAUAAAAAUCUUCCAAGCUAGUUUCGACAUGUGUUUCCAGAAUUCUAAAACUGCAUGUACUGUUCAUGUAGAUUUACUGACAUGUGCAUGAGAUGCCAGGCCUUGUAAUUUGGGAAGGCCAGGCACCGGGAUGCGUCAUUAAUUACCACAGAUGAGAAGGCAAUCUCCCAGUUUUUCUUGCCAGACUGUCAAACUUUGGCAUCAAAGAGGUUUGGCAGUGAUGCAUGAGGAAAGUCAAGGAAACAUCAAAGAGUGGCACGUUAGAGACUCAACUUCAUUAGGGCCAGGCUAGUGGACUAUACCUCCGUAUACGUGGCCCUACUCCCAAACUAGAAACAAGUAGAGGAAGGCUUAAACAUUGGAACAAAGCUCCCUGGUCGCGAACAGUAUCAGCCACAUACAGAUCUUCGCUGGCAGUGAACACGUACAGCUCCAGACACCAGCAGUUGUGGUGAUAUCUGAGAACGUUCAGUAAUUACUGCACACCACAUCAGGCCUGCCUUGUAAUCGAAUGCACCCUAUACGCCUGCAUUGCAUUGGCGCACUUUGAUGCUACAUGGACCCCGCACCUGCGUACACACCUGGCAACUGGCAAUCAGGUCAAGCCUCUUAUUGUCAUAAUAUCAGCUCUUGGAACAUUGAUGAAGGUCCUAGCAAGACGGUCAGAUUGUGGAAUCAAAGAGGUCCUGCAGUCUACUACCUUUAAAAGAGGUCCUGUAGUCUACUACCUUUAUAAGAGGAGUUUGAAAAAAUGGUGAAAACUGCAUGUAUCACUUUGCAAACACUGACCUUGACUCUAACCCGGCCAGAUGCAGCAUACUGCAGCAGGUGUAAAAGCCUAAUGCACUGUAGCGGUGUUCCCAUUGGACGUUUUCUUCACCGAAAUUUACCACGACAUUCCUUCAUGUCCAUUUAGCUACCGCGCGUUCCCACAUGGACUUUUUUAACCAUAAUGGAAUGUUUAUUCGCUGUGUUAGGCCCAAUAAGACCAGCUGAUUACGUUGCCUGCGCUGUACAAAUCAUGAUGAAAUCGGCAAAAUCUGACAAAAACAAAGAUAAAAAUCAGACGAAAUCAGCCUAAUCUGCCGCAAAGACGACGAACUCGUACUGGAAAAGCCCUGUACACAAUGUUUAUCUGGGCAUGCCUCACUGUGUGUAUGCAGCCUGCUGCUGUACUGUGAGCAUGGAGCUGGAGGCUGGGAACCAUACAACCAUUUUUCUCUGUGUAGGCAGUAGUCUGGUUCGUAUGUUUAGCAAGGUCCCGGUCAAUCUACGUUGUAUGGGAACUGUUCCCAGUGGGCUUCUUGCACCCGCUGCUAACUUGCCAUGGCUGUGCGGAAAGCUUCCAUGAACCUUUUCAUCCCGUUAGUUUUACAUUGCAGUCGUGGUAAGUUGACAGGGACGUCAGUUUACUGUUUGUUCCCUUUGGAUUUAAUUUUGUACUUCAACAGGAAAGUCGUUGCAAGUUAACCCCCAAAAAAGUCCAGUGGGAAUACGCCUUUUGAUGCACUGGGCAAUCAACUGCAGCCAAACAAACUGGUUAUGUUGAGACAAUGGGAGCUAGUCUCAUUGAACAAAGCCACUGUUGGAUCUUGUGGUGGCUAGUAACAACAAACUCCUCGGCUGUUUGGCCUUGGGGAGAGUUGAUCCGUAGGAUUUCGUUACACUGGGCAAGCAAAUUACUUUGACGAAUGAUACAGACUGAUGUGUCUGGCAGGAUUUCUAGCCAAACAACCCUGAACAGUUAGGGUUAUUGUGCUUGUUAAAAUUAUGAAAGUGGCUUUGGAAUUAUUCCUAUUAAUUGACAGAGAUGAGGCCUUUCUAUUUCUCCAGUCCAGUUGACUUUUUUUGUCAUUGUUAGGGCACUUGUUGGCAAGUGGAUAGAA